AUUUUAUCGGUUACUUGAUUGUUAAAAAAAGGAAAAAAAAAUGAAUUUAUUGCUUAAUUUUAUUUUUUUCAUGUUUGUAAUGAUAAACAUUGACAUUGGAAAUUCUCAUCCAACGAAUAGAAGAUCUUUGCAAGACUCUCAAACUUUUGAGUCUGUACAAUCAAGAGUUAGAAGGAUUUAUGAACCAUUCACAUUAACCGUCAAAAAACCAAGUAAACCAUCAAUAUCUACAAAUGAAGUAUUGCCAACUGAAAUAUCCACAAAUGAAAUAAUUACAACUGAAAUGUCUACAGCUGAAGUGUACAAAACUCGCAUAUCACCUAAUUCACCCAAUGUAGAAUUUUUUCCAAGUCGUGGUAAAUAAAUAAUUUAAAUAGGCUAAAAAAUAAUGAACGAGAAUUUGUAGUUAAAAAAAAACGAUAAAAAU